CACACACAGACACACACUGACGGCUGAGUCUUCCUGAACGCCUGAGCCAUACGCGCGUUUGUUCCGUGGCGCACUGUCCGAGUCCGACCGACCGAACUCUGGCGCUCCGUUGCAACCGGAAUGUUGUCCCGCGCUCGUCUACUUCUCUAACACGAGCGAGCGCGGCACUUUUAGCCCGAGGGAGAAGACGGAGGUGAUCAUGAGUUGUUUGGAUGUUAUGUACCCAGCCUAUGGACAUUACCAACCGUACGCGCCAGCCUCCGCUUUCAUCAGCACUUUGCCGGCUCCAGUCGGUGUGAGAAGCCCCUCUCCUCGCUUGCGGGAGUUCAUGGAGAGUGUGGGCGCGCCGCGCUGCACGGACAGCACCUCUGUGGCGGCAUCUGCCUCAGCAGCCUCCAUAGCUGCAUCGUCCUCGUCCUCCUCCUCCACAUCGACCGGAGGCCCCCCUGUGCCACCCUCUUCUUCCUCCUCAUCCGCCUCUGCCUCCUCCUCUUCCUCCUACGCGGCGACGGCGGGAGCGGUGACGGGGGGGUCGCCGCCCGACGGGGAUGCCCCCAAGGAGAAGCAGGAGGUGGGGGAGGCGGAGUACCUGAGCUCCAGGUGUGUCCUCUUCACCUACUACCAGGGGGACAUCAGCAGCGUGGUGGACGAGCACUUCUCACGCGCCCUCAGCACCUACAUGGAGGGUGAGAGCAAGAGGAGGCCCACGGACGCAGGAACAGUCUCCCCCAUCAGUCGGCGCAGCUUCCCGCCCUCCUUCUGGGACAGCAACUACCCAUCGCCCCCCAGCCGCGGCCACUGUGACCCGGGCGCCACCCCUUACUCCAUGGACCCUUACGCCCACAGCGCCCUGCACCCUGGCCUCCCUCACCCGCACGCGCACGCCCACCCGCACCCCCACUCGCACCCGCACACGCACCCCUCCGAGUCCUGGGGCAGCUACACACAGGGCCAGGCCUACGCUGCCCCAAGGCCUCUCCAUGAACUAUACACUACGGCCCCGGGCCUGGAGCCUCAUUAUGGUCCCCUGCUGAUGCCCGCGGUCAGGCCCCCACACCUCGGGCCCCUGCCCGGCCACUACGAGGUGGGCAAGCUGGAGCACGCGCCCGGGUGGCCGGGGCUGCUGCCCACCGCGGGGGACAUGGCACAGACGCUGGCUCUCAACAUAGACCCAGUACGGCCCUUGGAGGACUUUUACGGCCCUUGGAGGAAUUUGAAGUGGCCCUUCCAAUGAAAAAGGUUCCCCUACCCUGCGAGUUCUUCACAGUGAUGUACAUAUCUCCCAAGUUACAAUACAUGCCUCCAGCACCAGAAAAAAGCGAAGGAGCUCUACUGGUUUUAACGACCGGUCCUCCGCUCCGCUCCGCCCGCUGCAUCGACCCGCUAUUCGCUCGAUCCAAUUAGGCCCCUGGAGUCGGUCCCGCUGAAGAGCCAGCCGUGUCCUUUUAUUCAAGCCAAGCUCUCGCCACCCCCUCUCCAACCCCCCACCCC